rnacentral:rRNA from 1 species
UGGGGAAUAUUGCGCAAUGGGGGCAACCCUGACGCAGCCAUGCCGCGUGAAUGAAGAAGGCCUUCGGGUUGUAAAGUUCUUUCGGUGACGAGGAAGGCGUGAUGUUUAAUAGGCAUCACGAUUGACGUUAAUCACAGAAGAAGCACCGGCUAACUCCGUGCCAGCAGCCGCGGUAAUACGGAGGGUGCGAGCGUUAAUCGGAAUAACUGGGCGUAAAGGGCACGCAGGCGGCUAUUUAAGUGAGGUGUGAAAUCCCCGGGCUUAACCUGGGAAUUGCAUUUCAGACUGGGUAGCUAGAGUACUUUAGGGAGGGGUAGAAUUCCACGUGUAGCGGUGAAAUGCGUAGAGAUGUGGAGGAAUACCGAAGGCGAAGGCAGCCCCUUGGGAAUGUACUGACGCUCAUGUGCGAAAGCGUGGGGAGCAAACAGGAUUAGAUACCCUGGUAGUCCACGCUGUAAACGCUGUCGAUUUGGGGAUUGGGCCUUGAGCUUGGUNGCCCGAAGCUAACGUGAUAAAUCGACCGCCUGGGGAGUACGGCCGCAAGGUUA